UACGUAGGAUGCGAGCGUUGUUCGGAAUUAUUGGGCGUAAAGCGAACGUAGGCGGCUUUCUAAGUUUGGUCUUAAAGACCGGGGCUCAACCCCGGAAAUGGACUGGAUACUGGGAGGCUGGAGGAUGGCAGAGGAAGGUGGAAUUCCCAGUGUAGCGGUGAAAUGCGUAGAUAUUGGGAGGAACACCAGUGGCGAAAGCGACCUUCUGGGACAUUCCUGACGCUGAGGUUCGAAAGCUCGGGGAGCAAACAGG
rnacentral:rRNA from 1 species